CACGUAGGGGGCAAGCGUUGUCCGGAAUCAUUGGGCGUAAAGAGCUCGUAGGCGGCUCAGUAAGUCGGGUGUGAAACCUCCAGGCUCAACCUGGAGACGCCACCCGAUACUGCUGUGGCUAGAGUCCAGUAGGGGAGUGUGGAAUUCCCCGGUGUAGCGGUGAAAUGCGCAGAUAUCGGGAGGAACACCAGCGGCGAAGGCGGCACUCUGGGCUGGUACUGACGCUGAGGAGCGAAAAGCGUGGGUAGCAAAACAGG
rnacentral:rRNA from 1 species